rnacentral:rRNA from 1 species
UGGUGGUAAUAGCGGAGGGGAAACACCCGUUCCCAUCCCGAACACGGCAGUUAAGCCCUCCAGCGCCGAUGGUACUGGGGAGUUAGUCCCUGGGAGAGUAGGUCACCGCCA